UUUAAUAACAAAAAAGUUAUGCAAAAUUUACGAUCUAAAAAAGUACAUGUUAAUUGUAAAAAAUCGAAAUUUCGAUUUUUCUCAAAAACUAUAAUUUUUUCAAUUUUGAUAAUUAUGUGCAAGGUGCCCCUUCGCUAGGAGUGCUUGGCAGUUUUUAAAUGAAAGCUCUAUCUUUAAUAACAAAAAAGUUAUGCAAAAUUUACGAUCUUAUAAAGUAUAUGUUAAUGGUAAAAAACAGAAAUUUCAAUUUUUCUCAAAAACUAUAAUUUUUUAAAUUUUGAUAUUUAUGUGCAAGGUGCCCCUUCGCUAGGAGUACUUGACUGUUUUUAAAUGAAACCUCUAUCUUUAAUAACAAAAAAGUUAUGCAAAAUUUUCGAUCUAAAAAAGUACAUGUUAAUUGUAAAAAACCGAAAUUUCGAUUUUUCUCAAAAACUAUAAUUUUUUCAAUUUUGAUAAUUAUGUGAAAGGUGCCCCUUCGCUAGGAGUACUUGACAGUUUUUAAAUGAAAGCUCUAUCUUUAAUAACAAAAAAGUUAUGCAAAAUUUACGAUCUAAAAAAGUACAUGUUAAUUGUAAAAAAUCGAAAUUUCGAUUUUUCUCAAAAACUUUAAUUUUUUCAAUUUUGAUAAUUAUGUGCAAGGUGCCCCUUCGCUAGGAGUACUUGACAGUUUUUAAAUGAAAGCUCUAUCUUUAAUAACAAAAAAGUUAUGCAAAAUUUUCGAUCUAAAAAAGUA